rnacentral:rRNA from 1 species
ACGAACGCUGGCGGCGUGCUUAACACAUGCAAGUCGAACGGAAAGGCCCUGCUUUGUGGGGUGCUCGAGUGGCGAACGGGUGAGUAACACGUGAGUAACCUGCCCUUGACUUUGGGAUAACUUCAGGAAGCUGGGGCUAAUACCGGAUAGGAGCUCCUGCUGCAUGGUGGGGGUUGGAAAGUUUCGGCGGUUGGGGAUGGACUCGCGGCUUAUCAGCUUGUUGGUGGGGUAGUGGCUUACCAAGGCUUUGACGGGUAGCCGGCCUGAGAGGGUGACCGGCCACAUUGGGACUGAGAUACGGCCCAGACUCCUACGGGAGGCAGCAGUGGGGAAUAUUGCACAAUGGGCGGAAGCCUGAUGCAAGCAACGCCGCGUGCGGGAUGACGGCCUUCGGGUUGUAAACCGCUUUCGCCUGUGACGAAGCGUGAGUGACGGUAAUGGGUAAAGAAGCACCGGCUAACUACGUGCCAGCCGCAGC